UACUGACCUUUAAAGGAAAGAAAACGGGUUUUAUCGACAAAGGAAUCGACGUUUUGGAAACAAAGAAAGGAUAACGAGUUAUUGCGACGUGUUUUUAUCGACAAAGGAAUCAUCGUUUUGGAAACAAAGAAAGGAAAAAAAAUUGAGUUGGUUUAGUUUUAUCGACAAAGGAAUCAACGUUUUGGAAACAAAGAAAGGAAAAUGUUUUUGAGUUGGUUUAGUUUUAUCGACAAAGGAAUCAUCGUUUUGGAAACAAAGAAAGGAAAAUGUUUUUGAGUUGGUUUAUUUUUAUCGACAAAGGAAUCAACGUUUUGGAAACAAAGAAAGGAAAAUGUUUUGAGUUGGUUUAGUUUUAUCGACAAAGGAAUCAACGUUUUGGAAACAAAGAAAGGAAAAUGUUUUGAGUUGGUUUAGUUUUAUCGACAAAGGAAUCAACGUUUUGGAAACAAAGAAAGGAAAAUGUUUUUGAGUUGGUUUAGUUUUAUCGACAAAGGAAUCAACGUUUUGGAAACAAAGAAAGGAAAAUGUUUUUGAGUUGGUUUAGUUUUAUCGACAAAGGAAUCAUCGUUUUGGAAACAAAGAAAGGAAAAUGUUUUGAGUUGGUUUAGUUUUAUCGACAAAGAAAUCAACGUUUUGGAAACAAAGAAAGGAUAACGAGUUAUUGCGACGUGUUUUUUUAUCGACAAAUGACAAAGAUACGGCACCAGGUAGAGGUGAUGUAGAUACUCUACACAACACUGUCACACGACAAAUAAAGAAAAAUAACACCGGAGACAGGAUAAUACAGAAAAGGAAUACCAGGAAAAAGAAAUCAGAUACAAAACACAACAUAAGCAAAACGAACAACUAGGGUUAAUAGUUUCCCCCACAGCUUAGGUCACCAGUAGCGUAAGUUAAGGGUAGUAAUUUCCUCUUAUUUCUCU